AUACGGAAGGUCCGGGCGUUAUCCGGAUUUAUUGGGUUUAAAGGGAGCGCAGGCGGAGAUGCAAGCUUGACGUCAAAUUUCGGGGCUCAACCCCGUCUCGCGUCGCGAACUGCGUCCCUUGGUUGCGGGAAGGGGAGGCGGAACUCGUGGUGUAGCGGGGAAAUGCGUAGAGAUCACGAAGAACUCCGAUGGCGAAGGCAGUCUGGCGGGCCGUCGACGACGGUCAUGCUCGAAGGUGCGGGUAAAAAACAGGAUUAGAUGCCCUGGUUGUCCGCACAGUAAACGAGGGACACCCGCGGUUUGGCCUGUAUGGCUGAGCCGCCAAGCGAAAGCGUUAAGUGUCCCACCUGGGGAGUACGCCGGCAACGGUGAAACUCAAAGGAAUUGACGGGG
rnacentral:rRNA from 1 species